AGAGUUUGAUCAUGGCUCAGAACGUACGCUGGCGGCACGCCUAACACAUGCAAGUCGAACGAAGUAGCAAUACUUAGUGGCAGACGGGUGAGUAACAUGUAGGUAUCUACCCUUUGGCCUGGAAUAACACGAGGAAACUUGUGCUAAUACCGGAUAAGUCUUUACGGAGAAAGCUUUAUGCACCAUUGGAUGAGCCUGCACUUGAUUAGUUUGUUGGUAGGGUAAUGGCCUACCAAGACUUUGAUCAAUAGCUGAUUUGAGAGGAUGAUCAGCCACAUUGGGACUGAGACACGGCCCAAACUCCUACGGGAGGCAGCAGUGGGGAAUCUUGCACAAUGGAGGAAACUCUGAUGCAGCGAUGCCGCGUGAGUGAAGAAGGCCUUUGGGUUGUAAAGCUCUUUCGUCGGGGAAGAAAAUGACUGUACCCGAAUAAGAAGGUCCGGCUAACUUCGUGCCAGCAGCCGCGGUAAUACGAAGGGACCUAGCGUAGUUCGGAAUUACUGGGCUUAAAGAGUUCGUAGGUUGUUGAAAAAGUUGGUGGUGAAAUCCCAGAGCUUAACUCUGGAACUGCCAUCAAAACUUUUCAGCUAGAGUUUGAUAGAGGAAAGCAGAGAUU
rnacentral:rRNA from 1 species